rnacentral:tmRNA from 1 species
GGGGUCGACUGGUUUUGACAGGCUGUGAUUUUGCUAGUAUAAGCAUGCAGGCUCAUGGGAUGAGAGCCUUAAAAGAUAGUUCCAAAACUCAGUUGGCAAUUCAUUUGCUAUGGCUGCCUAGUCUCCCUUAGGGUUGUAGACAUUGGGCUUAAAUGGAACUGACCUAACGGCGUUUCCGAGCUACAUUCUCCUUUGCCUUGAUCUUUGGGCGAAGAUCCGAGAGUGCCGAAACCAUCGAUCUAGCUUGAUACCUGCUGUGGGUUGAUAGCGAAGCUAAAGCAGAUAAGGUUAAGUUUGAGGUUGUUUUCGCCUUGGCUUUUCUCGAAAAUUUAAGUAAAACUAAGCAUGUAGAAGGCUAGUCUUUGUCCUUCUCUGGACGAGGGUUCGACUCCCUCCGACUCCACCA